AUGAUACAUUCUACAAUUACCUUCACUAUGAUCGCAUCGAUGCCUCGGGUCCUCUUCCUCGUUGCUUUGACCGUCGCCAUGGCAACCGCCACGUCUGGCGCGCGGAGCCGGCAGAUCCACCUGCGCUUCUACAUGCACGACAUCACCGGCGGCCCGGGCCAGACGGCGGUGCAGCUCGUGAAGGGGCCCGGCCCCGCGCACCCGUUCAUGCCGGGCGCCCACUUCGGCGACACGACGGUGAUCGACGACGCGCUGACGGAAGGCCCCAGCGCGGCAUCGCGGGCCGUCGGUCGCGCGCAGGGGUCGUACAUGCUGGCGGGCCUCAAGGAGCCCGUGCUGAUGGUGUCCAUGACAGUGGCGCUCACGGGCGGCGUGUAUAACGGCAGCACCAUCGCCGUGGUGGGCCGGGACGACAUCUCCGCGGCGGUCAGGGAGCUCGCGGUCGCCGGCGGCACGGGCGCGUUCCGGAAGGCGACGGGGCACGUCCUCUGGCGGACGGCCAGGAUGGUGUCGCGCGACCACAUGGUGCUGGAGCUGGACGUCUACGCGACCAUGCCGGCCGCUGUUGCUGCUCCGAACGGGCAGCGUCAGUCCGGCGUUUUGAAUAUUUAG
rnacentral:rRNA from 1 species